AGGGUUCGAUUCUGGCUCAGGAUUAACGCUGGCGGCAUGCCUAAUACAUGCAAGUCGAAUGGUUUAGCUUGCUAGACCAUGGCGAACGGGUGAGUAACACGUAGGUAACCUACCUUAAGGACGAGGAUAACCUUUUGGAAACGAAGGAUAAUACUGGAUAGGACAUUACAAAGCACAUGCUUAAAUGUUUAAAGGAGCAAUCCACCAUAAGAGGGGCCUGCGGCGCAUUAGCUAGUUGGUGAGGUAAAGGCCCACCAAGGCGAUGAUGCGUAGCUGGACUGAGAGGUUGAACAGCCACAAUGGGACUGAGAACGGCCCAUACUCCUACGGGAGGCAGCAGUAGGGAAUUUUCGGCAAUGGGCAAAAGCCUGACCGAGCAAUGCCCGCGUGAUCGAAGAAGUAUUUCGGUAUGUAAAGAUCUUUUAUCGGGGAAGAAAAGACAGAUUGACUGAACCUGAUGAAUAAGCUCCGGCUAACUACGUGCCAGCCGCUGC
rnacentral:rRNA from 1 species